rnacentral:lncRNA from 1 species
GUUUCUUGGAUUUGUUGCCUGCUAAUUGGAGGGAUAAUGUGUUUUACCCUUCAAGAUAAUGCUUAUGGGCAUCCUGCCUACACUGAACCAGAAUCAACUGGAUCCCAAGCAAGUGUGGUGUCUGGUCCAAAUGCUAAAGCUAAUGGCCGCAAUACCCCAGCUAGUGUGACGUUGUGUCGAAAUGCCUCAGCAGAAGCGGCCGGCCCCGCGCCUCAGCAGAAGCUACUGGCAAAAAUACCCCAGCAAGUGUGACGUUGUGUCGCAAUGCCUCAGCAGAAGCGACCGGCCCCCGCGCCUCAGCAGAAGCGACCGGCCCCCGCGCCUCAGCAAAAGCGACCGGCCCCCGCGCCUCAGCAAAAGCGACCGGCCCCCGCGCCUCAGCAGAAGCGACCGGCCCCCGCGCCUCAGCAGAAGCGACCGGCCCCCGCGCCUCAGCAGAAGCGACCGGCCCCCGCGCCUCAGCAGAAGCGACCGGCCCCCGCGCCUCAGCAGAAGCGACCGGCCCCCGCGCCUCAGCAGAAGCGACCGGCCCCGCGCCUCAGCAGAAGCGACAAGCCUUGAACAGACGGCCCGACCCCUCAACAAGCUAGAUAGGGAGAUCAUAAUUUGGUUUGCCCAACUCCUUAAUCGUCUUUCCCCUGUUACUGUGCCUCCA